GGGUUUGGCUCCAAUGGCUAUGAUUUGCGAACAAAUGGUCGUGGAUGGUUGUCUGUUGAUGGGAAGUAUAAAUCCAGGGGACGUGGCAAUGGUUAUUUUGGUUAUGGUAAUGAGAACAUGGAUGGAUUGAAUGAGCUUAAUAGGGGACCUAGAGCCAAGGGAGCAAAAAACCAAAAGGGUUCAGCACCCAAUGCUUUACCAGUCAAAGAGCAGAAUGUGCUAACAAAUGGGACCGCUGAGGAUGAGAAUGAUAAGAUUAGUUUGAGUCCUGACAGAGAUGAAUACAAUAAAGCAGAUUUCCCAGAAGAGUACACUGAUGCUAAAUUCUUUGUCAUCAAAUCGUACAGUGAGGAUGAUGUCCAUAAAAGUAUCAAGUACAGUGUUUGGGCCAGCACCCCCAAUGGCAACAAGAAGCUUGAUGCUGCUUACCAGGAGGCUCAACAGAAGUCUCGCAGCUGCCCUGUAUUU
rnacentral:lncRNA from 1 species